rnacentral:rRNA from 1 species
UACGUAGGCAGCGAGCGUUGUUCGGAGUUACUGGGCGUAAAGGGUGCGUAGGCGGUUGUUUAAGUUUGGUGUGAAAUCUCCCGGCUCAACUGGGAGGGUGCGCCGAAUACUGAAUGACUAGAGUGCGGGAGAGGAUAGCGGAAUUCCUGGUGUAGCGGUGAAAUGCGUAGAUAUCAGGAGGAACACCGGUGGUGUAGACGGCUAUCUGGACCGUAACUGACGCUGAGGCACGAAAGCGUGGGUAGCAAACAGG